AACAUUAUUUUAAGGGAAAAUUUUCUUUUUUUAAAAAAAUUAUUAGUGUUAUCCAAUAAAAAUUUAUAGAUAUUAGAUCAUACCACAUGAAAAUGCGUUUUUGUCGAUCAAAAUAUGAGCUUUUCUCAACGAGAUUCCAACUGAUGUAUUUCAUUUUUGUAAAACUUCGUAGUUUUAAACGCGAAAAAAUUCUUCGAAUGGUGCGAUUACAGUUUCUUCAGUGUCGAAUAUUUUUUAAAACAAUUGUAAAUGACGAAACAAGUGAUAAUCGGUUGAAAUGAAAUAUCUGGUGAAUAUGAUGCUUUAUGAUAUAUGUCGAAUAUUUUGUAUGUUGUCAUACGAAAGAAUAGGUUAUGAUACUUCUUUGUUUCAAAGAAUUAUUCCCUUUAUAGACUAUCAUACAAUCACUGUAAUUUUUUCAUUCGUAAUGAUGGUUUUAGCAUUUGUUUAGAAUUUUCAUUAUCCAGCUCGUGUAUGAAGUUAUAAUUCUAUUCAAAAAUGGAUUUCUAAUGUUUCGAGUUUUACACUUCCAAACAGCGCAACUUUUAAUCCUCUGUCGGUUGGUGCGGUAUCCACUUUUCCAAUUUUUUCACUUUACCUAUUGCACUCAAUGUCUAAAUCUAACAACUGUCAUCCGAGAUACGUGCUCUGCUUUCGUUUUAGUUUUCAAUUUAUCUUUGUUUAAUAUGGAUUUCGGUCUACCUCGAAGCUCAUUUUCAAGAUUCUCAUCUGCAGAUCUGAAUUUUUGAAACUACAAUCGAAUGAUCCUCUCGAUAAUAGAAUUUUCUCGGAAAGCUAACCUAAUAUUUCGAUGUGUUUGCAUUGUGACCAGCUCAAAUUUGUACAAGAAUGAUAUAAUUCGUUCACUUUUUAAAAAACAGUUAAACUAAUGUAAAAAAAAUUUAUUACGAAGAAAUAUAAAAGAAAUAUAAAAGGACAACAUCAAAAUAUGAUAAGCAAAAUAUAGGAAAUAUUUGAUUAUUCUCACCGCAAAGACGUAAAACAACAGCCACGAAGUAACCAGCCAAACAUCCAUACGUGUCGACCAAAGACGGCCAAUGGACCACGGUUAACAAUUGAGGAAAGAGCACCACGUAAA